AUACAAGGCAAUAUGUCUUUAGAUAGGGAUAAAUUUCUGUAAAAGAAAUGAACCCUAGAUAAUUUUCCCAUCAAGCAUCUUGU
rnacentral:pre_miRNA from 1 species